rnacentral:rRNA from 1 species
GUGUCAGCAGCCGCGGUAAUACAGGGGGUGCAAGCGUUGCUCGGAAUUACUGGGCGUAAAGCGCACGCAGGCGGACAGACAAGUCGGACGUGAAAUCCCUGGGCUCAACUCAGGAACUGCAUUCGAAACUGUCUAUCUGGAGUACGGGAGAGGUGAGUGGAAUUCCUGGUGUAGAGGUGAAAUUCGUAGAUAUCAGGAGGAACACCGGCGGCGAAAGCGGCUCACUGGCCCGAUACUGACGCUCAUGUGCGAGAGCGUGGGGAGCAAACAGGAUUAGAAACCCUGGUAGUCC